GUUGGAGGUAAACGAACCCAUGGAAGAUAUCUCCUUAUAAGGCAGAGGAUUGAGUUUCCGGGGGAUAAAUUGGGCCCUUCAAAUGAGCAAGGAUUGCCAUCUACUGAACAAGGUGAUGUAAGGAGGGAGACUGCACAGCCCUUUAAACUCCCUAUGAUAGACAAUCACCAACCAAACAGGGAGACUGCUAUGACAGCAGUAGAAAAUAACGUGAAUAAUAGCGUAAAAGUGGAGAAUGAGUUGAUUGACCUUAACUCCAGA
rnacentral:misc_RNA from 1 species